CUUUACUAUUCAGAUUUUUCUGUCAAAUGUAAAGCUUAUUUAUUCACAUCGUUUUGAAUUAAUUAGGCAUUGUUUUGUAGCUUUCAGAGUUCAGUAAUGUGAUUGUUGCAUUUUUAAAAUGACAUUGUCUGUGAAUGUGAAGGGCUGGA